AGUUAUUCUAAGUAUUUUGCACAGAGAGAGAUCCAACCCACCAGAGGCCAGCUGUUUGUCCAUGAAGAGUGACCACUCUAUGGGCAAGCCAAUAAAAUUUGAAGGAAGACACACAUCAACUGAUACGAGUCUGUUGCACAGAGACAGAUCAAACAAAUCAGAGGCAAACUGUGUGUCCAUGAAGAGCGACCAGUCUAUGGGCAAGCCAAUAAAAUUUAAGGGAAGACAAGCAUCAACUGAUCUGAGCACAUUCAAAUCAAAUCUAAUGAAGAAGUUUUAGUGUCUGCAUGAAGGAACAGCAAAACAGGGAAACCCAACAUUCCUGAAUGAGAUCUACACAGAGCUCUACAUCACAGAGAGUAAAAGUGGAGAGAUCAAUAAACAACAUGAGGUGAGACAGAUUGAGACACAAUCCAGGAGAGCAGAAACAGAAGACACACCAAUCAAUUGCAAUGACAUCUUUAGACCUUUACCUGAACAAGAAAAACCCAUCAGAAUUGUGCUGACAAAGGGAGUCGCUGGCAUUGGAAAAACAGUCUCUGUGCAGAAGUUUAUUGUGGACUGGAGUGAAGGGAAAGCAAAUCAAGACAUCCAGCUCAUAUUUCCACUUCCUUUCAGAGAGCUCAACUUGAUGAAGGACACAAAACUCAGUCUUUUAGAUCUACUUCAGUAUUUUUUUCCUGAAACAAAUGAAAUGAAAAUAUCCAGUGAUGCAAAUAAAGUUUUCUUCAUCUUUGAUGGUCUGGAUGAGUGUCGUCUGUCUCUGGAUUUUCAGAGCAAUGUGAGGUUGUGUGAUUUAAGUAAAUCUGAAACAGUGGAUGUGCUACUGACGAACCUCAUUGUGGGAAAUCUGCUGCCCUCUGCUCUUAUCUGGAUCACAUCCAGACCAGCAGCAGCUGAUCUCAUCCCCUCUGAGUUUGUCCAUCGAGUGACAGAGGUACGAGGCUUCAGUGACCCAAAGAAGGAGGAAUACUUCAGAAAGAGAAUCAGUGAUCAGAGUCUGGCCAACAAAAUCAUAUCACACCUGAAGUCAUCAAGGAGCCUCCACAUCAUGUGUCACAUUCCAGUGUUCUGCUGGAUUUCAGCCACUGUUCUAGAGGGAAUGUUGGUGGAAUCAUGGAAAGGAGAGAUCCCUAAAACUGUUACUCAAAU